rnacentral:misc_RNA from 1 species
UCGUAACAAGGUUUCCGUAGGUGAACCUGCGGAAGGAUCAUUACCGAGUGUAGGGUUCCUAGCGAGCCCAACCUCCCACCCGUGUUUACUGUACCUUAGUUGCUUCGGCGGGCCCGCCAUUCAUGGCCGCCGGGGGCUCUCAGCCCCGGGCCCGCGCCCGCCGGAGACACCACGAACUCUGUCUGAUCUAGUGAAGUCUGAGUUGAUUGUAUCGCAAUCAGUUAAAACUUUCAACAAUGGAUCUCUUGGUUCCGGCAUCGAUGAAGAACGCAGCGAAAUGCGAUAACUAGUGUGAAUUGCAGAAUUCCGUGAAUCAUCGAGUCUUUGAACGCACAUUGCGCCCCCUGGUAUUCCGGGGGGCAUGCCUGUCCGAGCGUCAUUGCUGCCCAUCAAGCACGGCUUGUGUGUUGGGUCGUCGUCCCCUCUCCGGGGGGGACGGGCCCCAAAGGCAGCGGCGGCACCGCGUCCGAUCCUCGAGCGUAUGGGGCUUUGUCACCCGCUCUGUAGGCCCGGCCGGCGCUUGCCGAACGCAAAUCAAUCUUUUUCCAGGUUGACCUCGGAUCAGGUAGGGAUACCCGCUGAACUUAAGCA